UUGAGGCAAUAACAGGUCUGU
rnacentral:siRNA from 1 species